CAGGUUAUCAUGGCUUUGAAAUGCAUAACUUCACAUUCUUCGCCAUAAACGUCUUGCAUAGAAUAAAGCAUCAGCUUUACAAGCUGCCUCUUUGCAGAUCGUUCUGUAUGUUUGUAUUAGUCGAUAGAACGAUUUGAUAAGAGGAAACAAACUUUUUUUUAAAUUAAACAAGAUUUUAGAGUGCAUAAACUGGGUUUUCUUUAAGAGUACAUUUGGAUUGUGUGUGUACGAGGGGAUAAAGUGAAUUACCAAAUUAUAAGAGAUACAUGGUUUAGGAUUUAGCAGAUUAGAAGUAGGGAUUAAAAUAGUUAAACACUUUAGU